ensembl:lncRNA
ACUUAGCUGAAUCUGACCCCAAUUACAUUUAAACAAAGUCAUAUUUUACGCUCAGUUUUGCAUUAUUAUAACAUUUCUUUUAUUCAACUUAAAUUAGCAUUCUCCUGGUUUUCGGGAUGAUUCUGUUCACACUGAAAGCUUUAGUGUUUUAACAGGUGCAUCUCAGCUUGCUCAUGGGCUGAUACACAAAUCGUGAUUUGAUGAUUUUACUUGACUUUGAAAAAUGACACAAUGAGCCAAUAUGACUUUGAGGAGAGGGAAUCCAUUUUCUGAUCUCCUCUCGGUUCUCUUGAUCUCUUUUUUUCUUUUAUUGACCUGAAUGAAGACGUAUGGAGCAGAAUUGUGUGUUCGGUUGACUCCUGAUGAGGCCUGUCUGCCUCCCCCCCCCUCCCCCUUUCUCCCUGCUCCCCAUGAUCCCUGCAAGGCUGAGUGGCAGGGCUCUGGAUUGGCUAAGUGAUGAAAUGAUGACCCUAUUAUGAGAAGCGACUCCAAAAUGAGAGCUUCACCCGCGACCCGCUAUUCCAAAUGAGGGAUGUUAUAAAAAGGAUAAUUCUCCCUCCUCCACGACAAGACAAAUUACCCGUAAUAUUAUUAUUUCAGAAACGAGCCAAUAGCAUCAGUGACUAAAUGGAUAUUGACUGCAGCUCGUAGUGUGACUGUGGCCUCCUUCACCCUGCUGCAGACUCCAGUGUCAGCAUCUACACAGUGAUGCCAAACCUCCCGAGUGUUUAACACACAAUCCAGGCCUGCUCUCACAAAACGACAACCGCAUGUAUCUCAGAUGGUGAAUCCGCCUACUGAGUGAGUACAUUCUGACGCUGAGCGUUCCCGCGCCUGGCUGUUGUCUAACCAGACUCGCGAGGCCCAAAUAGCGGGUUUGUUUGGAAGAUGCUAUAGGUGCCGUAUGGUAAUCGGCGAAAUCUCAUACUGCCUAAAGCUCUCCAGGCAUGUAGGAUGGGCUCCUUCCUGCAGUGCCUUUUCGCGACGGUAAAGUGAUACAACGUACAAAUCAAAUGACUAGCAGAAUGCUAAAACCACGGUGUGGGAGCUGUGCCCUAGAUAUUUGCUCUGACUUAAUCCAAUAGAAAUAGUAUGAGUGAGUUGCAGGGGCUCCCAGGUCUGUUACUUGCUUAAAUAUGUGACGCAUAAUGGAAGUUGACGAGGCUGGUGAUAGAUCACAGCCCAGGUAAUGUAAACACAUUAAUCCCUCAGGGUUCAUGUGCAUGUUUCCUUCUCUCUUUUUCUUCUUUCUCAUUCUAUCAGCCUCUCUUUCGGUUUCUCUCUCUCUUUAAGUCCCCUCCCUCCUCUCCCCCUCGCUCCAUGUUCAUCAUCUUCCCUAAAUGCGUUAGUGGAGCACAAACCAGAAGCAGCCCUAAUCUGUCAACAUGCCCUUUAAUUGGAGGGAGAAAACAACACGUGCUUCUGCUUGUGCCAUUCCUAAGUGCACAUGCCAAAGAAACACAGAGUUCACG